rnacentral:snRNA from 1 species
GAGCUUGACGACAACAGAA